UACGUAGGGUGCGAGCGUUGUCCGGAAUUAUUGGGCGUAAAGGGCUCGUAGGCGGUUUGUCGCGUCGGGAGUGAAAACCCAGGGCUUAACUCUGGGCUUGCUUUCGAUACGGGCAGACUAGAGGUAUGCAGGGGAGAACGGAAUUCCUGGUGUAGCGGUGAAAUGCGCAGAUAUCAGGAGGAACACCGGUGGCGAAGGCGGUUCUCUGGGCCGUAACUGACGCUGAGGAGCGAAAGCAUGGGGAGCGAACAGG
rnacentral:rRNA from 1 species